rnacentral:rRNA from 2 species
UGGGGAAUAUUGCACAAUGGGCGAAAGCCUGAUGCAGCGACGCCGCGUGAGCGAAGAAGUAUUUCGGUAUGUAAAGCUCUAUCAGCAAGGAAGAUAAUGACGGUACUUGACUAAGAAGCCCCGGCUAACUACGUGCCAGCAGCCGCGGUAAUACGUAGGGGGCAAGCGUUAUCCGGAUUUACUGGGUGUAAAGGGAGGGUAGGUGGCCAUACAAGUCAGAAGUGAAAGCCCGGGGCUCAACCCCGGGACUGCUUUUGAAACUGCAUGGCUUGAGUGCAGGAGAGGUAAGUGGAAUUCCUAGUGUAGCGGUGAAAUGCGUAGAUAUUAGGAGGAACACCAGUGGCGAAGGCGACUUACUGGACUGUAACUGACACUGAGGCUCGAAAGCGUGGGGAGCAAACAGG